rnacentral:rRNA from 1 species
UACGUAGGGUGCGAGCGUUAAUCGGAAUUACUGGGCGUAAAGCGUGCGCAGGCGGUUUUGUAAGCCAGAUGUGAAAUCCCCGGGCUUAACCUGGGAAUGGCAUUUGGGACUGCAAGGCUCGAGUGCGGCAGAGGAGACUGGAAUUCCUGGUGUAGCAGUGAAAUGCGUAGAUAUCAGGAGGAACACCGAUGGCGAAGGCAGGUCUCUGGGCCGUAACUGACGCUGAGGAGCGAAAGUGCGGGGAUCAAACAGG